GUCUCCGCUGACCUUCCAGAGUCGGGUCACGUCUCCGCUGACCUUCCAGAGUCGGGUCACGUCUCCGCUGACCUACCCAGAUCAUCAAGCACUGUCUAUCUCUUUGAUUGACUUUGACGAAGUUUGAAGCAUGGGCUGUGGGAAUUCCACCUCUGCCAGCACAGCUGCAGGUCCAUCCGAGUCAGCCAAAGAUGUGCAGGACGAAUCGUCUGUGGAUGAUGAGAAGAGGAGGAACUAUGGUGGAGUGUAUGUGGGCAUACCUGCAGACCUCAGCAAUGUGGCCACCGGACAAACACCCUCCACACACAAAGAAUAAUGAUAUUCAGAGCUGAAGGCACAGAUAAAGAAGGAUGUAUGUGAUUCUGCCUAAAAAUUGAGUUAAAACAAGGGCUUUCCGGAGGGAAUCUUGGCUGAAAAUUGCUGCGUAAUAAUCUCAACAGGACGCAAUUUUCUUCAUCGUUGAUUGGCUCGUUGGGACUCGCCCAGAAUCCUCUGAGAGCCAAUCAUCUAAUUGAACUCUCUGGAAACUGAACUGGAAUUAGUUCUGCUGACAAGGUCAGAGGUCAAAGACAAAUCUGAGUUUGUUAGCAUCACUCAGUGCUUUUAAGGGCAAGUUCUACCAGCACCUUGCUUCUCAGGACAAUGACACACAGGUUUUAAUGACAAUCACAGAGCAACGAAGAUGCUAAAAACGUGUCUCUGAGCUCAAACCUAUUCCCUCACAAUGUUGCUCUGCAUUUAUUAAGAGGUUUCACAAGGGUCAAGUGGUUUUCAAGGGGGAAAUUAGACUCUUAAGGCACUAUUUAUGCACUCACGAGUCUGUUUUUGUUCUUUCAACAUGAUCCACAUCCUUUCAAACACUCUUCUCUAGUCUUAAGAAAAAAUCCAUUUUGUGAUAAUGUAAUGUUAGAGGUACAUGAAGUGCCUUUGAAGGAGCUCGUUGCUGGUCUGUCAGGUGAGUCCCCUUAGUGCUUCUUCAAGCCCUGCACUGUCUUCUGGAGGUGAAAUCAAGGGUUAUGUGUUUGUGAUUGGGUUUAAGGUCCCUCCAUCUCGCUAAUCCAAUUAGAGUGACCCAGUGAGAGCCGAGUUUUAAAACGAGGGUAUCUGUGCUAGCAGCGCCUGACCUGAGAGAACUCCGAGGACUGUGUAAGUAGGCCAGCGCUCGCACUUUUCAGCGUCAGGUCAGCUGGAGCUCACUCCUGUGACACAGGGGAGAAGAGAUGAGGAGAGAAAGACAGAGAGCGCUUGAGCCAGACUGUGUCACAGUGGGUGCUGAAUGAGACACCGAUUCCUGAGGGACGGCAGGAUGUGAGCCAACACUGUGACACGAGUUCUAGCUGAACUCACUUUCCUCACUCCUUAAAGAGACCCAGAAAGAAAUGUGGUUGUUAUUUUGUUCCAAAUCUGUAUACUUUUUUUUUGUUUGUUUCUUUUGUGUGACACAAAAGGAAGAAUUUUGAAGAAUGCACUGGUCAUUUUAAGGACUAUAAAAGCAUCAUUACAUUUUUAGCAUUUUAAAUUGAAGUUUGGGGUCAAUAAGAUUUUUUAAAGAAAUAGGUCUCUUAUGCUCACCAAGGCUGCAUUUAUUUGAUCAAAAGUACAGUAAUUAAAUAUUACAAUUUAAAAGAAAUCUAUUGUAAUAUAUUUUAAAAUGGAAUUCAUUGUUAUGAUGGAAAAGCUGAAUUUUCAGCAGUCAUUGUCUUCAGUGUCACAUGAUCCUUAAGAAAUCAUUCAAAUAUGCUGAUUUGCUGCUCAAGAAACAUUUCUUAUUAUUAUCAUCAAUGUUGAAAACAGUUUAAUAUUUUUGUGGAGACCGUGAUCCUUUUUUUUUUUUUUUUCAGGAUUCUUUGAUGUUCAAGUAAAAAACAACAACAACAAUAACAACAACAUUUAUUUAAAAUAGAAAUCUUUAGUAUAUCUUUACUGUCAUUUUGAUUAAUUUAAUGUGUCAAUUUAUUGUUGAAUUAAAGUAUUAAUUUCUUUCAAAAAAUAAAAUAAAAUCUUUCUGACCCCAAAUUUUUAUAUUUAUGUACAUAUACACAUAUAUUGUAAGAUAAUAACAAAUUGUCAGAGCAUACAUGAAUGUAUGAACCUUUUUCCCUAUUUUUAGACAUAUAAGGGAAUCAAUUCUUCUUUUUUUUCAUAAAUAUGAAGUACAUUUGCACCCAUCCUCUCACACACCACAGAUGAGAGAUUCUAAAAAUGAGUGUGUUUCUCAGGUGCAGCUCUCACCAGCAACCUCACAUGUAAAGCAGUAGUUUCUUGGAAAAUAUUUUCCUCCGAACCCAUUUUUCUGCUUCUUGAGUGGCUACAGUGCCACCAGCGACUCUCCUGAGUGAGCGUUCAAAGGAAAAAUUGAAUAGACUUUUUAAAGAUAGGCUUUUCCCCCAAGAAAGGUGUAGCACUGCUCUGUUAAAACAACACUCUUGGUUUGAGCAUCCCAGCAGCAACACUGACUCAACCAAUGGCGUGAGUUUAGGCAGGAAUGUUACUAAAACCUGAUUGAAAACAGUAAAUUCUUCUUCUUAUUAUAUUGUAGUUGUAAUUGGAGCUGCUAGUGCCACCUUACAUCUUUAAAUAAAAAUAUCUAACAAAAUUUCAAAAACAAUCUGGUAAUUUAAUAUUUCCCUAUACGUAUACUUUAGGGGAAAAGGUGUCACAGCUUUUAAUGUGUCUUGUAAAGAAUCAAUGUGAAGAAACCGAUUACAAAUUGCAUUUCAAAUCUCAAGUAUAGCCAAUUAUGUACUCAGGAAUUCUCAGAACACUGUAAUAUAUAGUAAAAUACUAAUUUUUGGUCAUUCAUUGCAGCAUAAAUUAUAUUUACAAGAUACUGUCAUCUCAAAAAGUCUUUCAUUUCAACAAGAUGUUAAUAAAAGUUCAAUUAAUGUGAUUAUGAAUUUGAACAGAGUUAUUAUUCAGUACAAGUCAUGUUAAACAUUGCCAUAUUUGUAGCAGUCUCUCACAUACAAGUGACUGGGUUCAGUUUUGCAUGAAUCAGUAUGAAUCUCUAUCACCUGUACUUGUUCUGUAAUGGUUGUACGCUCUCAUAAUGGACUAUUUCAUUCUGCCAGAACCUGUCACAAUGAGCUCUCUUUC